rnacentral:rRNA from 1 species
AGAGUUUGAUCAUGGCUCAGAUUGAACGCUGGCGGCAGGCCUAACACAUGCAAGUCGAACGGUAACAGGAAACAGCUUGCUGUUUCGCUGACGAGUGGCGGACGGGUGAGUAAUGUCUGGGAAACUGCCUGAUGGAGGGGGAUAACUACUGGAAACGGUAGCUAAUACCGCAUAACGUCGCAAGACCAAAGAGGGGGACCUUCGGGCCUCUUGCCAUCGGAUGUGCCCAGAUGGGAUUAGCUUGUUGGUGGGGUAACGGCUCACCAAGGCGACGAUCCCUAGCUGGUCUGAGAGGAUGACCAGCCACACUGGAACUGAGACACGGUCCAGACUCCUACGGGAGGCAGCAGUGGGGAAUAUUGCACAAUGGGCGCAAGCCUGAUGCAGCCAUGCCGCGUGUAUGAAGAAGGCCUUCGGGUUGUAAAGUACUUUCAGCGGGGAGGAAGGGAGUAAAGUUAAUACCUUUGCUCAUUGACGUUACCCGCAGAAGAAGCACCGGCUAACUCCGUGCCAGCAGCCGCGGUAAUACGGAGGGUGCAAGCGUUAAUCGGAAUUACUGGGCGUAAAGCGCACGCAGGCGGUUUGUUAAGUCAGAUGUGAAAUCCCCGGGCUCAACCUGGGAACUGCAUCUGAUACUGGCAAGCUUGAGUCUCGUAGAGGGGGGUAGAAUUCCAGGUGUAGCGGUGAAAUGCGUAGAGAUCUGGAGGAAUACCGGUGGCGAAGGCGGCCCCCUGGACGAAGACUGACGCUCAGGUGCGAAAGCGUGGGGAGCAAACAGGAUUAGAUACCCUGGUAGUCCACGCCGUAAACGAUGUCGACUUGGAGGUUGUGCCCUUGAGGCGUGGCUUCCGGAGCUAACGCGUUAAGUCGACCGCCUGGGGAGUACGGCCGCAAGGUUAAAACUCAAAUGAAUUGACGGGGGCCCGCACAAGCGGUGGAGCAUGUGGUUUAAUUCGAUGCAACGCGAAGAACCUUACCUGGUCUUGACAUCCACAGAACCCUGUAGAGAUACGGGGGUGCCUUCGGGAACUGUGAGACAGGUGCUGCAUGGCUGUCGUCAGCUCGUGUUGUGAAAUGUUGGGUUAAGUCCCGCAACGAGCGCAACCCUUAUCCUUUGUUGCCAGCGGUCCGGCCGGGAACUCAAAGGAGACUGCCAGUGAUAAACUGGAGGAAGGUGGGGAUGACGUCAAGUCAUCAUGGCCCUUACGACCAGGGCUACACACGUGCUACAAUGGCGCAUACAAAGAGAAGCGACCUCGCGAGAGCAAGCGGACCUCAUAAAGUGCGUCGUAGUCCGGAUUGGAGUCUGCAACUCGACUCCAUGAAGUCGGAAUCGCUAGUAAUCGUGGAUCAGAAUGCCACGGUGAAUACGUUCCCGGGCCUUGUACACACCGCCCGUCACACCAUGGGAGUGGGUUGCAAAAGAAGUAGGUAGCUUAACCUUCGGGAGGGCGCUUACCACUUUGUGAUUCAUGACUGGGGUGAAGUCGUAACAAGGUAACCGUAGGGGAACCUGCGGUUG